ensembl:rRNA 5S_rRNA 5S ribosomal RNA
GUCUAUGGCUAUACCACCCUGAACAUGACUGAUCUCAGAGGCUAAACAGGGUUGGGCCUGGUGAGUACUUGAGUGGGAGACUGCCUGGGAAUACCGGGUGUUGUAGGCU